CCUACGGGGCGCAGCAGUCGAGAAUCAUUCACAAUGGGGGAAACCCUGAUGGUGCGACGCCGCGUGGGGGAAUGAAGGUCUUCGGAUUGUAAACCCCUGUCAUGUGGGAGCAAAGUAAAAAGGUAGUACCACAAGAGGAAGAGACGGCUAACGCUGUGCCAGCAGCCGCGGUAAUACAGAGGUCUCAAGCGUUGUUCGGAAGCACUGGGCGUAAAGCGUGCGUAGGCUGUUUCGUAAGUCGUGUGUGAAAGGCGCGGGCUCAACCCGCGGACGGCACAUGAUACUGCGAGACUAGAGUAAGGGAGGGGGAACCGGAAUUCUCGGUGUAGCAGUGAAAUGCGUAGAUAUCGGGAGGAACACUCGUGGCGAAGGCGAGUACCUGGACAUUAACUGACGCUGAGGAACGAAGGCGAGGGGAGCGAAAGGGAUUAGAUACCCGGGUAGUC
rnacentral:rRNA from 1 species